GAAGGACUUUGCUUACAGCCAUAACUGGACUUUUUAGAUGUCUCAAGAAUGAAUGCUAACUGAAAGACAUUAACCAGCCAAAAGGUCUGUUAAAAGGUUUCAAUUGUUGUAUGUGCACUGCUGCUGUAUGUUACUGAAACUCACAGACUCAGUUAGCUUCAUCUGCUUCACAUUGUACUGGCCUUUUGACUUGUCAAUUUGUUCAAGGAAAUAGUAGUUAAAGCCUAAAGGAACCAUGGUUGUCGUUUGUUUGGUGUAUGAGAUAGACAAG
rnacentral:misc_RNA from 1 species